UACGGAGGGUGCAAGCGUUAUCCGGAUUUACUGGGUUUAAAGGGUGUGUAGGCGGGCAGUUAAGUCAGUGGUGAAAUCUCCGGGCUCAACCCGGAAACUGCCGUUGAUACUAAUUGUCUUGAAUGUCGUUGAGGUGGGCGGAAUAUGUCAUGUAGCGGUGAAAUGCAUAGAUAUGACAUAGAACACCAAUUGCGAAGGCAGCUCACUAAGCGAUAAUUGACGCUGAGGCACGAAAGCGUGGGGAUCAAACAGG
rnacentral:rRNA from 1 species